AAAGCGUGCGCAGGCGGUUAUGUAAGACAGAUGUGAAAUCCCCGGGCUCAACCUGGGAACUGCAUUUGUGACUGCAUGGCUAGAGUACGGUAGAGGGGGAUGGAAUUCCGCGUGUAGCAGUGAAAUGCGUAGAUAUGCGGAGGAACACCGAUGGCGAAGGCAAUCCCCUGGGCCUGCACUGACGCUCAUGCACGAAAGCGUGGGGAGCAAACAGGAUUAGAUACCCUGGU
rnacentral:rRNA from 1 species